rnacentral:rRNA from 1 species
CCCUCCCUCUUUCUUCAUGCCUAACACAUGCAAGUCGAACGAAACCUUCGGGUCUAGUGGCGCACGGGUGCGUAACGCGUGGGAACCUUCCCUUAGGUUCGGAAUAACUCCCCGACAGGGGUGCUAAUACCGGAUAAUGUCUUCGGACCAAAGAUUUAUCGCCUUUGGAUGGGCCCGCGUUGGAUUCGCUAGUUGGUAGGGUAAAAGCCUACCAAGGCGACGAUCCAUAGCUGGUCUGAGAGGAUGAUCAGCCACACUGGGACUGAGACACGGCCCAGACUCCUACGGGAGGCAGCAGUGGGGAAUAUUGGACAAUGGGCGAAAGCCUGAUCCAGCAAUGCCGCGUGAGUGAUGAAGGCCUUAGGGUUGUAAAGCUCUUUUACCCGGGAUGAUAAUGACAGUACCGGGAGAAUAAGCUCCGGCUAACUCCGUG